AAAGGGAGACCUAAUUCAGGUAUAAGACGAAAAAAAGUAGUCCCUACCAAGAAUCAAUCCCAAAAGGUCGGAACGAGGUAUGAGGCUUUCAAACUAGGUUCUGGGUUCAUAAAAGACCUGAAUCAGGAACAAGGGCUAUUAGCUCAGGUGGCUAGAGCGCACCCCUGAUAAGGGUGAGGUCCCUGGUUCGAGUCCAGGAUGGCCCACCUGCACAGGUGGCAAAAACAAGAGAAGCGAGGAAUCAGCACCUUAUCUUACUUAUAUAGUAAGAGAGAAUGCUGGCUCUGAGUAAAGAGUCCAGAGGAACCUUGAAAACUGCAUAGAGCUAGGUGAAAAAGCCAAAAAAGAAGACCGCAAG
rnacentral:tRNA from 1 species